rnacentral:misc_RNA from 1 species
GAUGAAGAACGUAGCGAAAUGCGAUACGUAAUGUGAAUUGCAGAAUUCAGUGAAUCAUCGAAUCUUUGAACGCAUAUUGCGCUCUCUGGUAUUCCGGAGAGCAUGCUUGUUUGAGUAUCUGUAAACACCUCAACUCCCUUUUCUUUUUUGAAAUGGGAGCUGGACUUGAGUGAUCCCAACACUUUUCUCACUGGAAAGUGGCGGGUCACUUGAAAUGCAGGUGCAGCUGGACUUUUCUCUGAGCUAUAAGCAUAUCUAUUUAGUCUGCCUAAAAAACAGAUUAUUACCUUUGCUGCAGCUAACAUAAAGGAGAUGAGUUCUUGUGCUGACUGAUGCAGGAUUCACAGAGACAGCUGUGCGGCUGACUUUGUAAACUCGAUCUCAAAUCAAGUAAGACUACCCGCUGAACUUAAGCAUAUCAAUAAGCGGAGGA